UAGAAGGUGGUUAAUGGAUUCCUCAGAAC
rnacentral:piRNA from 1 species